CUCAACCAGUGAAUACAACGCUUCUUGGAAUACCGUGGGAUCCACCUCACCCAGCACUUCUCCACUGCGACACCUCAGGCAGCUGAUGUGUGACACUGAUGAUGCCACAUGGAGAAGCUGCUAUUUUGGCCACGAUGCGGGAGUCGGUCGUGGACUCCCCGACUCGGUAUCAGCUCCCCGUUCAGUCAGCUGACUCCAGUGUAUCGUUGGCUGUGUGUGGGGGAGGCUGCGCGCGUGGUGCUUGUGUUUGUUUUGACUCUCGUUCACUGAAAAUUUCCUUCGGCGGAGUCUACAGGUGACAUCUCUGCAGUCAAUGGCUUCUGGUUCCCACCAGGUUGAGUCGUAGCAACAGCAGCAGCAGCAGCAGCAGCAUUGGCCAACACUCAACGUAAACACACUGGAAAUACUCGCAACAACAACUGUCUUCUUCUCCCAAACACACACACACACACACACACACGGUAGCUCAGUGGUUAGAGCGCUAGCUUCACAAGCCA